GGCAAAAUGGCGGAUGUAUGAACUUCCUCUGGGGGCAUUCAACCAGUAAAGGAAAACCGCCCCUAGAGAGCAUGCGCACAACCUCAGUCAACUCACUACACAUGCAAUUACCCUCCUGAGUGCUGACCAACACUGCUGCAUGGGGCUGUUGAGCAACAGCCCGCCCCAAGGGAAGAACCGAGGGAGGAGAAGAGAAAACUCCAGAGCCGUGCCAACGGAUAAACCCCACGCCCAGGGCUGAGCGGUCACUUGGAUCUCUCACGUGGCGCACUCAGCCCUCUUCCAGAUUCUUUCCACUGAGGAGGCAAGGAUGGAGUUGCUGCUGACCCGUGCAGAUUUGCUGCUGGUAACAUACUCAUGGGCAAAGUCUGAAAAACCUCUUCCUGCCCUGGGCAAGGCAGAUGGGGCAGCCCAGCAGGCUGGCUUUGCCCACCGUCUCCGAUAUCAUCCAACACAGUCAGCCAGGUUGUGUGGCCCUCUCAUCUACAUUCUCAUUUGCCAACAAGAUGGUGUGGGCUAUGCUGUCUUUGCACAGCGAUCUGAUCCCAGGGACAUUUGUGUGGGUGUGUGCCCGGGAGCUGCAUGUCUGCAGGUUCAGAUUGGGGUCAGCUUUGCUGGUGAGUGUGGCUUCCUGCCAUGGCACCAAAGAAGAGGGCUGGCGGAUUAGUCCUGUUGUCUCUCAUAGCUUUGUAGGGACACAGCGGGCCAUGUGGACUGACAGCUGGAGACUUCAUAAAGAUGGCCUAGAAAAUUAGGACACUGUCCUGUUGGCCACAUUCGCUGCAUCCUUUCCAGCAAGAUGUCAUUCUGAGAUUUUUGUCAUUCCUGGGCGUUAUGAGGACUGCCAAGGGACACAAUUCCAUGGGAGGAAAGUUUUCUUCUAAGCUGCAAGCCAGCUCUGGCUUCUGGAGUUUCUCCUUAGGAUUGCAAGACAGUAGUUCCCUGUCCUUUAGGUCUUCUCCAGAAAUACCUUAAAAUAGCAAAUAA
rnacentral:lncRNA from 1 species